rnacentral:rRNA from 1 species
CCUACGGGAGGCAGCAGUGGGGAAUAUUGCACAAUGGGGGAAACCCUGAUGCAGCGACGCCGCGUGAGUGAAGAAGUAAUUCGUUAUGUAAAGCUCUAUCAGCAGGGAAGAAAAUGACGGCACCUGAGUAAGAAGCCCCGGCUAACUACGUGCAAGCAGACGCGGGAACACGGAGGGGGCCAGCGUUAUCCGGAUUUACUGGGGUUAAAGGGAGCGUAGUCGGCAGUGCAAGUCCGGAGUGAAAGGCGUGGGCGCAACCCCCGGACUGCUCUGGAAACUGUACGGCUGGAGUGCAGGAGAGGUAAGUGGAAUUCCUAGUGUAGCGGUGAAAUGCGUAGAUAUUAGGAGGAACACCAGUGGCGAAGGCGGCUUACUGGACUGUAACUGACGUUGAGGCUCGAAAGCGUGGGGAGCAAACAGGAUUAGAUACCCCGGUAGUC